rnacentral:ncRNA from 1 species
GGACUCUGGAGAAGCUCCGCGCACCUUUACGGUAUGGGGAGUGCCGAAGGUGCAAGGCCGCAGGGCCGAAUCUCUCAGGCAAAAGGACAGAGUG